GUGCAAUGCAAUGAGGGUGUGCAAAGCGAAAGGAGAGCAACAGCGUGCGAUACACAAUGGGUGUGCAAAGAAAGAUGGGAGCAGCGUGCAAUGCUUUGGGGGUGUGUGCGAUGCACAAGGGGCGUGCAAAGGAAGAUGAGAGCAGCGUGCAAUGCACAACAUGCGUGCAAAGGAAGAUGGGAGCAGUGUGCAAUGCUUUGGGGGAGUGCAAAGGAAAUGGGAGCAACGUGCAAUGCACAAGCGGCGUGCAAAGCAAAACGAGGGCAACAUGCAAUGCAAUGAGGGCAUGCAAAGCAAAAUGGGAGAAACGUGCAAUGCACAAGGGGCGUGCAAGGCAAAAUGGGAGCAGUGUGUAGUGCUCUGGGGGUGCGCAUUUGCACGUGGGGUGUGCAAAGCAAAAUGGGAGUGGCGUUCAAUGCUCUGGGGGUGUGCAAUGCACAAGGGGCGUGCAAAGCAAAAUGAGAGCAACGUGCAAGGCUCCAAGGUCGUGCAAAGAGAGAAGUGUGCAUCGCUCCGGGGGUGUGCAUUUGCACGUGGGAUGUGCAAAGGAAAAUGAGGGCAAUGCGCAACGCUUUGCAGGUGUGCAAUGCACAAGAGGUGUACAAAGCAAAAUGGGAGCAACGUGCAUCACUCUGGGGGUGUGCAAUGCACAAGGGGCGUGCAAAGCAAAAUGAAAGUGAGAAAAACUGCGGGUGUGCGAUGGAAUGGCGGCGUGCAAGGGAGUGGGUGUGCAAGAGGACAAGUGUGCAAGGGGUGAGUGUGCAAAACGGGGGGGUAUGGGGCCCUGAGUGACCUCAAUUCCGCCCCUCCCCCGCCAUUUAUAGUUGUGUUGCACGGAGUGCUCACACCUGCAGCGGUGCAUUGUGCGCUGUGAGUGUGCAACGUGCAAUGGGUGUGCAACGUGCAGUGGGUGUGCAACGUGCAAUGGGUGUGCACGGUGCUGCGUUGAGCCGUGCAUUUCACACGCCUUGUGCAAUGAGCGUGCACCAUGGGGUGAGUGUGCAGCGCUUGUGCACUGUGCACUGGGCGUGCAACGUGUAGCAAGUGUGCAAUGUGCGAUGAGUGUGCACUGUGCAGCGCUUGUGUGCAAUGAGUGUGCACCAGGCGUUGUGCAUUGCGUGUGCACUGCAGUGAGUGUGCAGCAG
rnacentral:lncRNA from 1 species